GAGAGAUGAAGCCAGUAGAGAUCAGAUUCACUUUCUACACAGAGGCAUCUACAGCACAGAGAUCAAGCCAUGGCACCUACAAUCACUUCAGCCAUGAUCUAUUAAGGAGCACCUGACAAUGACCGAUAAGCUAAGAAAGACUGAAAGACAGUGAAGUUACGCAGAGAUCGUAUAAACAGCAGCAUUGAGCAGCUCAAGUCUCUCCUGGGUCCAGAGACCCUUAACCAGCAGUCUGACUCCAAGCUGGAGAAAGCAGACAUCCUGGAGAUGACAGUUUGCUUCCUGAGACAACAACAACAGUACCAGCCAGUGAGCUCCUCCUCAUGUUAAUUACUCCAGGUCACAGGAAGUUGGUGGCACCUUAAUUGGGGAGGACAGGCUUGUGGUAAUGGCUGGAGCGGAAUAGUUGGAAUGGUAUCAAACUCUUGGUUUCUAUGUGUUUGAUGCCAUUCCAUUAGCGCCGUUCCAGCCAUUAUUAUGAGCCGUCCUCCCCUCAACAGCCUCCACUGCUCCAAGUGUGUCAAGGUGAUUGUGCACUUCCUGUCCAAGGAUGAGGUGAAGACACAUUCCAGAGAAGACUGCUGAGCCACUUCAAGAUACUUCAGCCAUCCUCUGAUAAGAACAGAAGGGAGAGUGACCUGUCUCAGCUGAGUCCCCCACCCCAGCACAGCAUCAGCAAAGAGAAUAGUUCAGUCAACAGCGCCCUCUGGAGGCCCUGGUAAAGUCCUACAGACCGGAGCUCCACACAAACAAACAACAUGGACCAUGUUGGUCUAAGAUUAAUGUUGUGGACAGUAAUGAGAAUAGGAAUAUAUAUUCCUCAUCUUCUUCUUAUGCAGGAGGUUUUAAAAGUCUUGUUGUGACUGAGAACUUAUUUUUAUUUUUUUUCUAUGAAAAUGAUCUAGUCGAUGAACACUCCAUUUUAGAAGUGUUAAUUGAAAUAAUAACCAUUUAUGUUUUAUGAAACGUGUUGAUUAUGUUUUAAUUAAUGAUCAACAAUAACUUGAAUUGUCCUCCAUGAGGAUGUUUAACCCAAAAUAGGUUUUAUAUCUGUUUGUGAUUGUCUAUAUGAUACCACUACAUUUUGUAGUGAUAAAGUAAUAUUGAAAAGUUAUUGAGUAUGUACCAGUCUGUUCAACUUCCUCCGGGAUUAGACUUCACCCAAACUGGGUAAUAUAUCUGUGUCAGAUUAACAAUAUAGAAUUUGCUUCAUGUGAAUGUUAUUCAGAUAAUUUCAGCAUUAAAGAUAUUGCAUAUAAAUGUGUAUUCUCUCACAUAGACCCAUUGUUAAUUUUAAACAAGGUUUUGUCUUUUUAUAAAGACAGUAAAUAUGUUUCCUAUACUAUGAUAGAGUAUCAUAAGUCUUGGAGAAUUGUCCAAGUUCUGGUUGUGAUGUUAAAUCACUAUUAUUUGUCUAUUCAUGUUGAGUCAAUUUUAAUAAACUAUAAAAGCAAUAAAAA